rnacentral:rRNA from 1 species
GACGAACGCUGGCGGCGUGCCUAAUACAUGCAAGUCGAACGAGAGCGACCGGUGCUUGCACUGGUCAAUCUAGUGGCGAACGGGUGAGUAACACGUGGGUAACCUGCCCAUCAGAGGGGGAUAACAUCCGGAAACGGAUGCUAAAACCGCAUAGGUCUUCGAACCGCAUGGUUUGAAGAGGAAAAGAGGCGCAAGCUUCUGCUGAUGGAUGGACCCGCGGUGCAUUAGCUAGUUGGUGAGGUAACGGCUCACCAAGGCCGUGAUGCAUAGCCGACCUGAGAGGGUGAUCGGCCACAUUGGGACUGAGACACGGCCCAAACUCCUACGGGAGGCAGCAGUAGGGAAUCUUACGCAAUGGACGCAGGUCUGACGGAGCAACGCCGCGUGAGUGAAGAAGGUUUUCGGAUCGGAAAACUCUGUUGUUAGAGAAGAACAAGUGCUAGAGUAACUGUUAGCGCCUUGACGGUAUCUAAACAGAAAGCCACGGCUAACUACGUG